rnacentral:rRNA from 1 species
UACGUAGGGGGCAAGCGUUAUCCGGAUUUAUUGGGCGUAAAGAGCUCGUAGGCGGCCGUUCGCGUCGGAUGUGAAAGCUCAGGGCUCAACUCUGAGACGCCAUUCGAUACGGGACGGCUAGAGGUAGGUAGGGGAAAGUGGAAUUCCUGGUGUAGCGGUGAAAUGCGUAGAUAUCGGGAGGAACACCAGUAGCGAAGGCGGCUCGCUGGGCCACACCUGACGCUGAGACGCGAAAGCUAGGGGAGCGAACAGG